rnacentral:lncRNA from 1 species
UCCCUGCCUCAGCCCUUAAACCCAGGCCACCGUCUCCGCCUCCAUGGCCAGUGGCCGGAGUUACGCGAGAACGGCCCCUUUGCCUUCCCUUUUUGAAGCGUCCCCGAAGGUUAAGCCUUCUUAACCGCGAGACCAGAAAAAAAGGGAUGGAACGCCCCUUUUGCUCAACUUCGACGACGAUGAAGACGGGCUCCGACGCCGGCCUCUGAA